rnacentral:rRNA from 1 species
CAGCAGCCGCGGGAAUACGUAGGGUGCAAGCGUUAAUCGGAAUUACUGGGCGUAAAGCGUGCGCAGGCGGUUUGUUAAGACAGAUGUGAAAUCCCCGGGCUCAACCUGGGAACUGCAUUUGUGACUGGCAAGCUAGAGUGUGGCAGAGGGGGUGGAAUUCCGCGUGUAGCAGUGAAAUGCGUAGAUAUGCGGAGGAACACCGAUGGCGAAGGCAGCCCCCUGGGCCAACACUGACGCUCAUGCACGAAAGCGUGGGGAGCAAACAGGAUUAGAUACCCCCGUAGUCCCUGUCUCUUAUACA